rnacentral:rRNA from 1 species
AGUGAACGCUGGCGGCAGGCCCAACACAUGCGAGUCGAACGGCAGCACAGUGGAGCUUGCUCCAUGGGUGGCGAGUGGCGGACGGGUGAGGAAUACAUCGGAAUCUGCCCAGUCGUGGGGGAUAACAUAGGGAAACUUAUGCUAAUACCGCAUACGACCUACGGGUGAAGGCGGGGGAUCGCAAGACCUCGCGCGAUUGGAUGAGCCGAUGUCCGAUUAGCUAGCUGGCGGGGUAAUGGCCCACCAAGGCGACGAUCGGUAGCUGGUCUGAGAGGAUGAUCAGCCACACUGGAACUGAGACACGGUCCAGACUCCUACGGGAGGCAGCAGUGGGGAAUAUUGGACAAUGGGCGCAAGCCUGAUCCAGCCAUGCCGCGUGGGUGAAGAAGGCCUUCGGGUUGUAAAGCCCUUUUGUCCGGAAAGAAACGCCUCGGAUUAAUACUCUGGGGUAAUGACGGUACCGGAAGAAUAAGCACCGGCUAACUUCGUGCCAGCCGCCGCAGUAAGAC